rnacentral:rRNA from 1 species
AUUGAACGCUGGCGGCAGGCCUAACACAUGCAAGUCGAGCGGAUGAAGGGAGCUUGCUCCUGGAUUCAGCGGCGGACGGGUGAGUAAUGCCUAGGAAUCUGCCUGGUAGUGGGGGAUAACGUCCGGAAACGGGCGCUAAUACCGCAUACGUCCUGAGGGAGAAAGUGGGGGAUCUUCGGACCUCACGCUAUCAGAUGAGCCUAGGUCGGAUUAGCUAGUUGGUGGGGUAAAGGCCUACCAAGGCGACGAUCCGUAACUGGUCUGAGAGGAUGAUCAGUCACACUGGAACUGAGACACGGUCCAGACUCCUACGGGAGGCAGCAGUGGGGAAUAUUGGACAAUGGGCGAAAGCCUGAUCCAGCCAUGCCGCGUGUGUGAAGAAGGUCUUCGGAUUGUAAAGCACUUUAAGUUGGGAGGAAGGGCAGUAAGUUAAUACCUUGCUGUUUUGACGUUACCAACAGAAUAAGCACCGGCUAACCCCGUG